rnacentral:lncRNA from 1 species
UCUCAGCGAUUGUGGCCAAUUUUGAAGUAAAGAGAAUCUUGGUUGACAACGGGAGUGCGGCCAAUAUACUUUCACAAGAAGCUUUUGCCAAAAUGGGAAUCUCAUCUCAGCAGCUCAAAGCAGUUAAAACUCCUCUCCAGGGGUUUGGGGGAGGAGUCAUCACUCCAGAGGGUGUCGUCGAGCUUCCUCUAACUUUGGGUUCUGGCCAGAAACAGGUUACGGAGAUGACAUCUUUUCAAGUGGUA